rnacentral:lncRNA from 1 species
CAUUUUAAAUAGGAAGUUUCAAUAGAUCUGAAUUCUCCCUCUAGUUCUCCCUCAUGAUGUUUACAUUUACCUUUUUUUUUUUUUUUUUAUUUUAUUGCAGCCAGUCUUCGGAAAACAAAUGGAGAACUUCAGGAUGAAAACGCCAGUCUUCGGAAAACAAAUGGAGAACUUCAGGAUGAAAACGGAAGCUUUCUUUUCCUGGGCCCUCCACCACGACAUCUAGAUGCAGUGCUCGCUGUGUUGUAUUUGACAUUGUCCCGGUUGUUACUGGAAUGGUUCCGAUUCCAACCCUGGUUGCAGG